ensembl:lncRNA
GUUAAUGCUUUUUAAUUCACUCUGUUUCCCAGUUGUCGUUUUUUAUUGAAAAGGCGGAUUCUGCCGGUGUGUGUUCCUUUGCGGGGGCGGGGUGGGGGGUGCUUCACCAACAGAGAUCCGAGGAGAGGCAGAGACAGAGACAAAGGCGGUGCGAGACACCGGGCAAGGAGUCAAUAGGGUCAGAGAGCGAGAAAGAAGAGAGACUGGAAACGGGAGCCGGGACAGGGGGACACACAGAGACCCCAAGAAAGGGGAAGGGAGGGAAGAGCAAGUGUGCUGAGAAAUCCUGCUCCGGGGGAUCCAGGGCGGACCCUGCCACCUCCAGCUCCUGGGGCUUUCUCCGGCUCUCUGGUUCCCUUCCGCGUAGACUAGGCGAGUUGGGCGCCGGGAGUGGACUGGAAGUCGCCACGGACCGAGUACGCAGGACCAGGGUCUUCGAGGGCUAGGGAUCCGCGAUCCGACAAAGAGGACCCGGGAGUCGGAAGCGUUCCGCUCCUGCCUCCGCAGUUCCGUUUUAGAGCCGACCCCAAUCCUGCGCUGCGGUUCCCCUGGCCUGCUGCGCCGCCUGGAACAAGCGCCCCGACCUCUCUGAGCCCUGGCUCUGCCACCUGUGGACAGAGAGGCCUGCUGCUGGCCGAGGGGCUAAACGGCUCGAGGGCGUGGGGAGCAGAGCUGCGUCAACACCGCGGCUCCGCGGUUAGGGCAGAAAUCCUGGGAUUUUCGGUCUGGGCCGCUGCCCCGGGGUGGUGGUGGGGGCUCAUGUUUAUGCAGGACUGGCGGGGACGGGAGACAGCGGGGCCCGGGCGCUUCCUUCCUUCGCAGCUGAGAACCAUUUGGUUCUCCUCCCACCGCGCCACCGCCCCUCUCCCUUUCCGCGCCAGGUUCGUGCUCAGACGCGUGAGUGUGAACACACACCCGCGGACACACAAAGACGCUCACAGCCCAGCACGUGGCGGAGGUGUAGACGCUGGCCGGUUCCCUGGGCGGAGAGGGUGCGUUCAACCGGCGCGGCUCUCAGGCCUGGAGCCUAAGAACUGAAAAAGCCCGGGAUAAUUAGAGCUAAUUACACGUGUGCACACAGCUGCAGCCUCGGGCGCAGGCGAGGGGGCCGUACGGGCCACCCCUCCCGCGGCCUGACCCCCGCGAUCCUGCCCAGCGUGGGGAGGGGGUGGAGUGGCGCAUCUGGGUGCGGGUCGGAAGAGGCAGGGUGGGAUCCCGCGGGCGGAGAGGCCCCGGCGUCCGGAGUCGGGGUGAGCCCUCUGCCUCCAAAGAGAGGCCCUCAUCACACCCGGGUGCAGCCAGGGACGCCCAGGGAUGGCAGUGUGGCCGAGCUAGAAGCUAGGACCAGAAUUGGGGUCCGAGUACCCUUGGCCUUAUGCUGAGCGGGCCCAAGCGGGAGGUCCGGAGCUUAUGGGCUUCGAUAGUUUCAGACUCCUGAGCACUCCGGUCUCUGCAGAAGGCUCAUGCGUACCCAGUCGGCAGAGGUCAGUGCUGCCAGGGACCUGAGGCCGCUGGACCAGGAAGGGACAGUCCGGUGCUGGUGUCAGGAGACCAUUCCGUGUAUGCCCGAAUGAGCCACAAGACCCCCGAAAGGGCGACCUCUCUGAGCCUUCGUUUGCGCUUCUGUAAAAUGGGAAUGCGGAGAUCCCUGCGUGCUGACUCCGAGGGGCUUCGGAUGCAGAGUCCAAAAAGAGUGAGAAAGGAGCGAAUUUCUACGUGUGGAUGAGGGUUUAGAGUUUGCACUGCUAGUCUGAAUCAGCGUUCUCAUUUUGUGGUUUCAGGAGCCUUUGGCGGACUGGGUUAGAGCAGCAUCGGUGGAGGGAGUUAUAUUUUUGUAUUUUAUAACUGACGCUCAGAGAGGUCGAACGUCUCAGGGCAGGUCACACAGCGGGAAGAGGCAGCUGACUUUCCGGACUUCACAUUUCAAAUUCAGACUCGGCGCAACUCUCCUCCACCCGUCCUGGUCGCCCCUGGAACCCGGGCACCCCCCGGCGCUCUGCGGAGCCUGGUUGCUGUAAGAGUACGGAACGCGAUCUCUCGCGGUGGGUUCCGCCGCCCCAGCUCGCUGUGAGCCC